AUUGAACGCUGGCGGAAUGCUUUACACAUGCAAGUCGAACGGCAGCGCGGACUUCGGUCUGGUGGCGAGUGGCGAACGGGUGAGUAAUGUAUCGGAACGUGCCCAGUCGUGGGGGAUAACGUAGUGAAAAUUACGCUAAUACCGCAUACGAUCUAUGGAUGAAAGCGGGGGAUCGCAAGACCUCGCGCGAUUGGAGCGGCCGAUAUCAGAUUAGGUAGUUGGUGGGGUAAAGGCCCACCAAGCCAACGAUCUGUAGCUGGUCUGAGAGGACGACCAGCAACACUGGAACUGAGACACGGUCCAGACUCCUACGGGAGGCAGCAGUGGGGAAUUUUGGACAAUGGGCGAAGGCCUGAUCCAGCCAUUCCGCGUGCAGGAUGAAGGCCCUCGGGUUGUAAACUGCUUUUGUACAGAACGAAAAGGUUUCUACUAAUACUAGGAGCUCAUGACGGUACUGUAAGAAUAAGCACCGGCUAACUACGUGCCAGCCGCCGCAGUAA
rnacentral:rRNA from 1 species